ACGGAAUUAGCUCAGUUGGUAGAGCACUGGUCUCCAAAACCAGGUGUCGGGAGUUCGAGUCUCUCAUUCCGUG
rnacentral:tRNA from 1 species